rnacentral:rRNA from 1 species
GAUGAACGCUAGCGGGAGGCUUAACACAUGCAAGUCGAGGGGCAGCAUAGGGUAGCAAUACUCUGAUGGCGACCGGCAAACGGGUGAGUAACGCGUAUGCAACCUACCCUGUACAGGGGGAUAACCCGGAGAAAUUCGGACUAAUAUCCCGUAAUAAUAUCCGGAGGCAUCUUUGGAUAUUUAAAGUUCCGACGGUACGGGAUGGGCAUGCGUAACAUUAACUGGUUGGUAAGGUAACGGCUUACCAAGGCUAUGAUGUUUAGGGGUCCUGAGAGGGUGGUCCCCCAACUGGUACUGAGACACGGACCAGACUCCUACGGGAGGCAGCAGUGAGGAAUAUUGGUCAAGUGGGCGCAAGCCUGAACCAGCCAUCCCGCGUGCGGGAAGACGGCCCUAUGGGUUGUAAACUGCUUUUCCAGGGAGAGAAACUUACGCACGUGUUGCGUGACUGACGGUACCCUGGGAAUAAGCACGUCGGACUAACCGUCGUCGCCGAGCACGGCCGGUACGGUAAACGACGAAGAGUACGUGGA